GACGAACGCUGGCGGCGUGCUUAACACAUGCAAGUCGAACGAUGAAGCCGGAGCUUGCUCUGGUGAAUUAGUGGCGAACGGGUGAGUAACACGUGAGUAACCUGCCCUUGACUCUGGGAUAACUGCGGGAAACUGUAGCUAAUACCGGAUACGACCCUCGGAGGCAUCUCCUGGGGGUGGAAAGAAUUUCGGUCAAGGAUGGACUCGCGGCCUAUCAGCUAGUUGGUGAGGUAAAGGCUGACCAAGGCGACGACGGGUAGCCGGCCUGAGAGGGUGACCGGCCACACGGGGGCUGAGACACGGCCCAGACUCCUACGGGAGGCAGCAGUGGGGAAUAUUGCACAAUGGGCGCAAGCCUGAUGCAGCAACGCCGCGUGAGGGAUGACGGCCUUCGGGUUGUAAACCUCUUUUAGCAGGGAAGAAGCGAAAGUGACGGUACCUGCAGAAAAAGCACCGGCUAACUACGUGCCAGCCGCCGCCGUAA
rnacentral:rRNA from 1 species